AAACUAUAAAAACUAUUAUAACCCAGCUUCUGUGAACGCAUCAUGGGACAAACCAUAAAGUUUGUUUACAAGAAAGAAAUAUCUGAAAUUGCAAAAACAAAAAAACCUUUGAAUAUGAAAAGUAGUUUAUUUUUCUGUUUCAACGUUCUUUCUUUUAGUUUUAAAAUAAUUUUUCAGUUUCAAAUCUUUAUUUUCAGUUUAGAUGGAGGAAGUGUGUAAACGUGGAUGAUGAUGAGGAGAAGGAGAUGAAGGCUGGAGGAGCCGUCUGCCGCCAACAGAGACCCUGACUGCUACUGCUGGAUUUUAGCACCACAAUCAGCUGCUGGUCUUCCAGAGUGGAAGUGGCCUAAUUAAAGUACGCUGUUUCCUGUGGGCUUCAUACUGAUCCAGUUAACGGCACAGAAGUGAGAGCCAGAGGGGGAAACGUUGUGGCUCCGGAUCCACAACGUCCUGCAGGACGCAGAUAUCACAGCGGGACACGAUCUGCAGAGGAAACAACUCGGGGUCAGACAGGAGGAGAAACUUAAAGAAAAUACAAAUAAACUAUUGAAACAGGAGAAGAAAUGUUUGUAAAUAAAAUGUCCCAACUUUUAA